GACGAACGCUGGCGGCGUGCUUAACACAUGCAAGUCGAACGGUGAAGCGCCUUCCUUUUUGGUGGGUGUGGAUGAGUGGCGAACGGGUGAGUAACACGUGAGUAACCUGCCCCCUUCUUCUGGAUAACCGCAUGAAAGUGUGGCUAAUACGGGAUAUUCUGGGUCUGUCGCAUGAUGGGUCUGGGAAAGAUAUUGUUUCGGUGGGGGAUGGGCUCGCGGCCUAUCAGCUUGUUGGUGGGGUGAUGGCCUACCAAGGCGGUGACGGGUAGCCGGCCUGAGAGGGUGGACGGUCACAAUGGGACUGAGACACGGCCCAGACUCCUACGGGAGGCAGCAGUGGGGAAUAUUGCACAAUGGGCGCAAGCCUGAUGCAGCGACGCCGCGUGAGGGAUGGAGGCCUUCGGGUUGUGAACCUCUUUCGCCAGUGAAGCAGGCCUGCCUCGUUUGUGGGUGGGUUGACGGUAGCUGGAUAAGAAGCGCCGGCUAACUACGUG
rnacentral:rRNA from 1 species